rnacentral:rRNA from 1 species
GGUCCGCAUUGUAAUUUGCAGAGGAUGCUUCGGGAGCGGUCCCCAUCUAAGUGCCCUGGAACGGGCCGUCAUAGAGGGUGAGAAUCCCGUAUGGGAUGGGGUGCCCGCGCCCGUGUGAAGCUCCUUCGACGAGUCGAGUUGUUUGGGAAUGCAGCUCUAAUUGGGUGGUAAAUUUCAUCUAAAGCUAAAUAUUGGCCGGAGACCGAUAGCGCACAAGUAGAGUGAUCGAAAGAUGAAAAGCACUUUGAAAAGAGAGUUAAACAGCACGUGAAAUUGUUGAAAGGGAAGCGCUUGCGAUCAGACUCGCUCGCGGGGUUCAGCCGGCCUUCGUGCCGGUGUACUUCCCCGCGGGCGGGCCAGCGUCGGUUUGGGCGGCCGGUCAAAGGCCCUUGGAAUGUAACGCCUCUCGGGGCGUCUUAUAGCCAGGGGUGCCAUGCGGCCUGCCCGGACCGAGGAACGCGCUUCGGCUCGGACGCUGGCAUAAUGGUCGUAAGCGACCCGUCUUGAAACACGGACCAAGGAGUCUAACAUCUACGCGAGUGUUCGGGUGUCAAACCCGUGCGCGCAGUGAAAGCGAACGGAGGUGGGAACCCCCCGGGGUGCACCAUCGACCGAUCCUGAUGUCUUCGGAUGGAUUUGAGUAAGAGCGUAGCUGUUGGGACCCGAAAGAUGGUGAACUAUGCCUGAAUAGGGCGAAGCCAGAGGAAACUCUGGUGGAGGCUCGCAGCGGUUCUGACGUGCAAAUCGAUCGUCAAAUUUGGGUAUAGGGCGAAAGA